rnacentral:rRNA from 1 species
UGGGGAAUAUUGCACAAUGGGCGCAAGCCUGAUGCAGCCAUGCCGCGUGUAUGAAGAAGGCCUUCGGGUUGUAAAGUACUUUCAGCGGGGAGGAAGGCGAUAAGGUUAAUAACCUUGUCGAUUGACGUUACCCGCAGAAGAAGCACCGGCUAACUCCGUGCCAGCAGCCGCGGUAAUACGGAGGGUGCAAGCGUUACUCGGAAUUACUGGGCGUAAAGCGCACGCAGGCGGUCGGUCAAGUCGGAUGUGAAAUCCCCGGGCGCAACCUGGGAACUGCAUUCGAAACUGGCAGGCUAGAGGCUUGUAGAGGGGGGUAGAAUUCCAGGUGUAGCGGUGAAAUGCGUAGAGAUCUGGAGGAAUACCGGUGGCGAAGGCGGCCCCCUGGACAAAGACUGACGCUCAGGUGCGAAAGCGUGGGGAGCAAACA